CUUGGUGGCUAUAGAGAGGGGGAAAUACCUGAUCCCAUACCGAACUCAGAAGUCAAGCCCCUCGUCGCCGAUGGUACUACACUCAAGAGUGUGGAAGAGUAGGUAGCUGCCAAGU
rnacentral:rRNA from 1 species